AUUGAACGCUGGCGGCAGGCCUAACACAUGCAAGUCGAGCGGAUGAAGGGAGCUUGCUCCUGGAUUCAGCGGCGGACGGGUGAGUAAUGCCUAGGAAUCUGCCUGGUAGUGGGGGAUAACGUCCGGAAACGGGCGCUAAUACCGCAUACGUCCUGAGGGAGAAAGUGGGGGAUCUUCGGACCUCACGCUAUCAGAUGAGCCUAGGUCGGAUUAGCUAGUUGGUGGGGUAAAGGCCUACCAAGGCGACGAUCCGUAACUGGUCUGAGAGGAUGAUCAGUCACACUGGAACUGGGACGCGGUCCAGACUCCUACGGGAGGCAGCAGUGGGGAAUAUUGGACAAUGGGCGAAAGCCUGAUCCAGCCAUGCCGCGUGUGUGAAGAAGGUCUUCGGAUUGUAAAGCACUUUAAGUUGGGGGGAAGGGCAGUAAGUUAAUACCUUGCUGUUUUGACGUUACCAACAGAAUAAGCACCGGCUAACUUCGUG
rnacentral:rRNA from 1 species